rnacentral:rRNA from 1 species
UACGGAGGGUGCAAGCGUUAUCCGGAUUUACUGGGUUUAAAGGGUGCGCAGGCGGUCUUAUAAGUCAGUGGUGAAAGCCUACAGCUCAACUGUAGAACUGCCAUUGAUACUGUAGGACUUGAAUUCGGUCGAAGUGGGCGGAAUAUGACAUGUAGCGGUGAAAUGCUUAGAUAUGUCAUAGAACACCGAUAGCGAAGGCAGCUCACUGGGCCUGGAUUGACGCUCAUGGACGAAAGCGUGGGGAGCAAACAGG